AAGUCGUAACAAGGUUUCCGUAGGUGAACCUGCGGAAGGAUCAUUAAUGAAUUUAAAACGGAUGGGGUUGUCGCUGGUCUUUUCCUAGACAUGUGCACGCCUUGUUCAAUUCAUCCACAUACCUCUGUGCACUCUUCAUAGACUGGCUCGUUAUCAUGGCUACCUCGGUGGUCAGAGAGUCUAUCUAUGCAUUUUACUACAAACAUCAUUAGUUCUUUGAAUGUACAAUUGCUAUAAACGCAUUUAAAUACAACUUUCAGCAACGGAUCUCUUGGCUCUC
rnacentral:misc_RNA from 1 species